AUGUGUAUACAUGUUCGUCUAUUAUUUCACCUUCUGCAAAUGAAUUUUAUUCAGUUUUCUCCACUAUUUUGCAUGCAGAUAUGUCCACUUCUCAUUUCUUGGAAGACUAAGGAGACUAGCAAAUGUUGGCCAGGCUGCUGCUUAGAUCUCCCAUCCCCCUCCACCAAACUGAAGACAAUGAAGAAAACAUUUCCUUCUCUCCUUGGUGCUUGCCUGCCUUCUUCACCAAUAUACCAGAGUUACGGCACGCACUGCUCUGUCCUUCACAAGGCAAUUAAAUAUGACGGCAUCGGCAGUCCUUGCACAAACUGUGGAACGCUUGCUCUGUUGUGUUGCAGAGUAAACAUCACCAUAACCAGUUGUGCAAUUCCUGAAGAAAUAUCAUCAUAG
rnacentral:lncRNA from 1 species